UCCGCUCUCACCCGCCUCCCACGUCCUCCUCUCCCCUCGCGCCCCUCCCAUCAAGCCCUAUCCAACCGGGAACGGGCUGGUCGGUACUCCUCGCCCCGCCGCCACCUCGCCUCGCCGCCACCUCGCCCCGCGCUCCAGUCCCGCCGCCACCUCGCGCUCCUCUUCUUCCCCACGGUGUCCUCCUUUGCACCGCCGCCGGACAUCCUUUCAUCCAAUCCCGCAUCGUCCAAACCUCCUCUCAUUCCCGCAUCGUCCCGCAUCCUCCCAUGCCCUUCGCCCCCAGUACAAGACCCAGCCGCCCCACCGUCUUCUCCGCCAACCACGCCUCCGCCACCGAGCACCUCGGCGCACUGCUCCGCCAUCGAGCGCUCCUGCUCCGUCCAGCACGGCGUGCCCAAUGCGCUAGGGUUUCUGGUCGCCUGGACGGCGAGGAAGUGGAUCACCCCCUCGUCGGCGGCGUGGAAGACUUGCGCGACGUGGAGCAGCACCCAGUGCGGGAGCCGUCGUGGCGGUAGUCGAAGACUACCCAGCUCGCCCAUCUCACGUUUUGCUUUUCCUCUCUCUCAGCUUCCCUUGACUCCUCUCUCUCACCUCUUCCCCCAGAUCCGCCGCCGCCUCGCCGUGCUCACCAUCUGUUCCAUCGAUCCCACCUGGUUUUUCCACAAUGAAGGUCCUUCGCCAUGGAUUUGGUGAGGUAGUGGCCUGGUUGACCGGUGGGGAUUUUAUUCGUUGGGGAUUUGAUUCCUCUGCUUCCUUUUGGUCUUUUCUGCUGGGUUGUUUGUUUCUUUGACCUCUGUCUCCAUCAAGUCUUUCUUCUCUUUUUGUUUCUUUAUUUCAUCUAUUUAAAGCUCCGUCUCAGUGAUGAAUGAAUUGAGGGAUGGAAGACCAGAAUUGAUUUCAUUCAUUAUCUAUUGUCAUUGCUAAACAAGUAUUUCUUUCAGUGGCUCAUCACUAUUGUUUCUACUUCUGUGAACUUUGAAUAGGUGAAUACUUUUUAUUAGUCUGCUUUUACUAUUGGUUUAGGAUGUGCACUUCUGUUGUACUGUAAGAGUGCUCGAUUUCACUCCUAAUCACCAGUGGUUUGGUGCCUCCUCUAUACACUAGAAAUCAUCUAAGCCACAUUCUACUUUCAUACUACACGAGUCAUGCAUGUGUAGCCAACCUAAUUGCUCUAAUGACUAAUGAGGUAGUUUAUCUCAAGCCUAUUUAGAAAUCCUUCCAAAGACUCUUCUGCUAUUGAUGUGCUUCCCCGUGAGUAUUCCAGGUAAUCAAUUAAAUCUUAUAGCAAUGGAUGGAACCGACGAGGCUGGAGUUAUGGUGCUCCUUGGCGCACGAUCCUGCGGAGCGUGCGACUAUUUUGCUUCUGAUUGUUGCCAGACAAUGCCGAGCCACCCGUGCCAUCAUCGCUCGUCUCAAUUUUGCGAGAUCAACAAUCGCUGCUCAGCCUGCCGCCACAUACAGCAAGCAGCUCAUGAAGAAACACUACCACUGCGAGUCACCAAGUAUCAGGUCAGAAAAUGCAGGCCCGAGCUACUCUGAUUUCCAUAUGUGGCUAUCUCUGUCAUUCACCGUGGCAAAGCGAAACUGUGAUGUCAAUCCUAUGAAUACGUUGAACCAAGGUGAGCCAUUAUCGAUUCGCUGCUGAAGGUGUUUUCCUUUAUUUUGUUUCAUGUGGUUUAUCUUUUAUACUCUGAAAUUAUUUAGUUCUUGCAUUGAAUCGUAGUUUGUUUAUUGGCCUAUUAUAUCGAGUUGUAUGCAUAGAGAUGGAAGGGGGUGUGAGAAGCUAUGCUAAUUUUGCAGUGGUAGGCUGUGUCUUUCGAUUGUCUUUUAACAGUAAGUAUCAUUCUUUUAUUCCUGUGGCCUAAUCAGUGAGCUGUGAUGAACAUUUUUUCUUUGUAUUCAAACUAGCUUGAACGAUCAAAAAGGAUAUUGGUCCAUGUUAGCCUUUUAGCAUUGUGUAUUAACAUUGGCUGGGCCAUCUUUCCAAGUUGUAAAACUACACUUAGAUGCUUAACCUUCGCCAUGUGCCUCUAUAGCUGCUUCCGGUGGUAUUAUCUGAGAUGGCCGUGGAGAUCAAAGGAUCUAUGUACAACCUUGGUUCAAGGUCUGCCUUAUGUGCUGAAUUAUGGCAAGGACUAAAACAGGUUUGGGAGCUAGCCUACCAAGAAAAGAGGUGUUUCAACAGCCUUUAAUACUUGAUUUUGGUUCGAUUGCAGCAAUGCAAGGAACAAAUUGCUUUGCACCUUUCUUCCAUUCUUUGUAUUUCUUACAUAGAGAAGGAAAGGGCAGCUAUUAUCAACUUCUUUCUCUGUGGGUUAACUUCCGUGCUAGCCUUAUGCAUUUUCCCAUGCCGCAUAAAUAUUUUGAGGUAGUACUAAUUUUAAAUCUUGCAUCUUCCAGGGAUAGUUCAUGUCAAAUAUUAAUUCGAAUUUACGUUUUCAUUUACAGCUUCACUGUACUAUUGUUUCUGGAGCAUGUAACUUUCCAUGUAUUAAGUGGGAUUGCUCGAUGUUGAGUCCACCUGCUGAGCGGCGAGACAAAAGACGGGGGGUCGUGCGCCAACAAAAAUCCAUAUUGCAACUUUACAUAUUCCUAUGGACUUUCUGGUGCAAAUAAGGAUAGAGCUCUACUAUAUAUAUCCUGAACAAGAUCCAUAUUACAAUUGUACAAUCAUUCAUAGAAAAUUGAUUACUUAGUCUCAACUAAAAUUAUUUGUUGAAGUUGAUUUUCUAUCCUUGGAUAAUGGAUUCAUAUUGUGUGAGAUGUACUUUUUAAUGUCUAUGGAAACUGCUUACUAUUCACCUUUAA